rnacentral:rRNA from 1 species
AACAACCGGGAUUGCUUAGUAACGGCGAGUGAAGCGGCAAAAGCUCAAAUUUGAAAUCUGGCACCUUCGGUGUCCGAGUUGUAAUUUGAAGAAGCAACUUUGGUGCUGGUCCUUGUCUAUGUUCCUUGGAACAGGACGUCAUAGAGGGUGAGAAUCCCGUGUGGCGAGGAUCCCAGUGCUAUGUAAAGUGCUUUCGACGAGUCGAGUUGUUUGGGAAUGCAGCUCUAAGUGGGUGGUAAAUUCCAUCUAAAGCUAAAUAUUGGCGAGAGACCGAUAGCGAACAAGUACAGUGAUGGAAAGAUGAAAAGAACUUUGAAAAGAGAGUGAAAAAGUACGUGAAAUUGUUGAAAGGGAAGGGCAUUUGAUCAGACAUGGUGUUUUGCGACCCUCGCUCCUUGUGGGUGGGGAUCUCGCAGCUCACUGGGCCAACAUCGGUUUUGGCGGCAGGAUAAAACUUUGGGAAUGUAGCUUGUCUUCGGAGAAGUAUUAUAGCCCAAGGCAAUACUGCCAGCCGGGACCGAGGACUGCGACUUUGUCAAGGAUGUUGGCAUAAUGGUAGAUCCCUG